rnacentral:miRNA from 1 species
UAGUACAUUCCGAAUCGACUCG